CCCAUCCCACAGAGGUGUUUCAAGGGAUGAAGAGAGAGUUUAGGCACUGGACACAGAUUGGUAUAUAAUGGGUACCUGAUAAACAAUAGCUACAUUGACAGAGCCAAAACCUGGAAACAGCUGAGACAUCCAUCAGUGAGAGCACGGACGAUCAAACCGGGGUGCAGCCAUGCAAUGGGAUACUCCUCAGCCAGCAGUGAGAGGGAACAAGCUGCUUAUCCAAGAUUGUGGACCAACCUCACAAGCACGUUGAGUGAAAGCAGCCAGACUCAAGAGAGUACACACUUUUUGCCUCCGUUUACAUGAAGUUCAAGAACAACUAAAACCAAUCUAUGGCGAGGGAAGUCAGAAUAGUGGCUACCAACUGGGGACGGUCUUGACAGGAAGCAAAUCCGAAGGAACCUCCUCGGGUGAUGGGAAUUCAUUAUAUCCUGGUCUGGGUG